rnacentral:lncRNA from 1 species
GGUGGCAGUGGACAACGCCUUUGGGAGACGACGUCGUUCCUGAAGUGUAGUUAAGUACGAUCGGGUCCCACUCGGAGUUCGGUAGAACCCACUUGAAUCCCGGAUCGCCCUUGCUUACAAGCCCCUCGUAUGUGUCGAGGAAAUCGACGGUGGGUGAGGCUUUCUCGAUGGUUUCGUCUGUGAUGAGAAUUAGGGUUGGGCGUUGACUUUGAUUUUCAGGGAAGAGGGAUAGGGCUUCGAGGACGAGGUCGCGUGAGGCGCAGUCGACGAAGACGAGCGUGGAGUUCGCGUGGCGGAGGAUCACGGAGACGGUGCGGGCGUCGAGGCGGGUGUUGAUGUUGUUCAGGAUUGCGCCGGCGAAGGGGACGG